AGCGAACGCUGGCGGCAGGCCUAAUACAUGCAAGUCGAGCGCACCUUCGGGUGAGCGGCGGACGGGUGAGUAACGCGUGGGAACGUGCCCUUUGGUACGGGAUAACUGAGGGUAACUUCAGCUAAUACCGUAUGUGCCCUACGGGGGAAAGAUUUAUCGCCAUUGGAGCGGCCUGCGUUGGAUUAGGUAGUUGGUGAGGUAAAGGUUCACCAAGCCUACGAUCCAGAGCUGGUCUGAGAGGAUGAUCAGCCACACUGGGACUGAGACACGGCCCAGACUCCUACGGGAGGCAGCAGUAGGGAAUCUUGCGCAAUGGGCGAAAGCCUGACGCAGCCAUGCCGCGUGAAUGAUGAAGGUCUUAGGAUUGUAAAAUUCUUUCACCGGGGAAGAUAAUGACGGUACCCGGAGAAGAAGCCCCGGCUAACUUCGUGCCAGCCGCCGCAGUAAGAC
rnacentral:rRNA from 1 species